ACACUCAUGGUGAAGCGGUUAUCAUGCUUGCCUUCCAUUUGCGCUUACGUAAGCCGACGUAAGCAAGCGGCAGGGGUUCGACUCCCCUUGAGUGUA